rnacentral:rRNA from 1 species
UAGUUAAAACUUUCAACAACGGAUCUCUUGGUUCUGGCAUCGAUGAAGAACGCAGCGAAAUGCGAUAAGUAAUGUGAAUUGCAGAAUUCAGUGAAUCAUCGAAUCUUUGAACGCACAUUGCGCCUUCCGGUAUUCCGGAAGGCAUGCCUGUCCGAGCGUCAUUAAAACCCUCAAGCAACGCUUGGUGCUGGGGCCCGCCCGCUGUGGCGCCCCCGAAAAGCAGUGGUUGUCCGGCGAGACUCGAGCGUAGUAAGAUUUUCAAUCCCGCUUGGGAGCUCUCGUGGGGGCGUGCCAGCCAAAACGAAGCCUUAACUUCGACGAUUGACCUCGGAUCAGGUAGGGAUACCCGCUGAACUUAAGCAUAUCAAUAAGCGGAGGAAAAGAAACCAACAGGGAUUGCCUCAGUAACGGCGAGUGAAGCGGCAACAGCUCAAAUUUGAAAUCUGGCCUCCCGAGGUCCGAGUUGUAAUUUGUAGAGGGUGUUUCGGGUAAGGCGCCGGCCUAAGUUCCUUGGAACAGGGCGUCCUAGAGGGUGAGAAUCCCGUAUGCGGCCGGUGACCGAGCCUAUGUGAAACCCCUUCGACGAGUCGGGUUGUUUGGGAAUGCAGCUCUAAAUGGGUGGUAAAUUUCAUCUAAAGCUAAAUACCGGCCAGAGACCGAUAGCGCACAAGUAGAGUGAUCGAAAGAUGAAAAGCACUUUGGAAAGAGAGUUAAAAAGUACGUGAAAUUGUUGAAAGGGAAGCGCUUGCAACCAGACCUGUGUCCGGGUGAUCAGC